rnacentral:rRNA from 3 species
GGACGGGUGAGUAAUGUCUGGGAAACUGCCUGAUGGAGGGGGAUAACUACUGGAAACGGUGGCUAAUACCGCAUAACGUCGCAAGACCAAAGAGGGGGACCUUCGGGCCUCUUGCCAUCAGAUGUGCCCAGAUGGGAUUAGCUUGUUGGUGAGGUAACGGCUCACCAAGGCGACGAUCCCUAGCUGGUCUGAGAGGAUGACCAGCCACACUGGAACUGAGACACGGUCCAGACUCCUACGGGAGGCAGCAGUGGGGAAUAUUGCACAAUGGGCG